GACGAACCGUGCGAACGUUAUUCGGAAUCACUGGGCUUAAAGCGCGUGUAGGCGGGCCGCCACGUCGGCUGCUGAAAUCCCCCGACUCAACCGGGGAACGGGCACCGAUACGAGCGGCCUCGAGGUGGGUAGGGGGGUCUGGAACUUCCGGUGGAGCGGUGAAAUGCGUUGAGAUCGGAAGGAACGCCCGUGGCGAAAGCGAGGCCCUGGACCCUUACUGACGCUGAGACGCGAAAGCCAGGGGAGCGAACGGG
rnacentral:rRNA from 1 species